rnacentral:rRNA from 1 species
AGAGUUUGAUCAUGGCUCAGGAUGAACGCUGGCGGCGUGCCUAAUACAUGCAAGUCGAGCGAACAGAUAAGGAGCUUGCUCCUUUGAAGUUAGCGGCGGACGGGUGAGUAACACGUGGGUAACCUACCUAUAAGACUGGGAUAACUUCGGGAAACCGGAGCUAAUACCGGAUAACAUUUAGAACCGCAUGGUUCUAAAGUGAAAGAUGGUUUUGCUAUCACUUAUAGAUGGACCCGCGCCGUAUUAGCUAGUUGGUAAGGUAACGGCUUACCAAGGCGACGAUACGUAGCCGACCUGAGAGGGUGAUCGGCCACACUGGAACUGAGACACGGUCCAGACUCCUACGGGAGGCAGCAGUAGGGAAUCUUCCGCAAUGGGCGAAAGCCUGACGGAGCAACGCCGCGUGAGUGAUGAAGGGUUUCGGCUCGUAAAACUCUGUUAUUAGGGAAGAACAAAUGUGUAAGUAACUGUGCACAUCUUGACGGUACCUAAUCAGAAAGCCACGGCUAACUACGUAAUGCACCCCGCGGUAAUACGUAGGUGGCAAGCGUUAUCCGGAAUUAUUGGGCGUAAAGCGCGCGUAGCCGGUUUCUUAAGUCUGAUGUGAAAGCCCACGGCUCAACCGUGGAGGGUCAUUGGAAACUGGGAAACUUGAGUGCAGAAGAGGAAAGUGGAAUUCCAUGUGUAGCGGUGAAAUGCGCAGAGAUAUGGAGGAACACCAGUGGCGAAGGCGACUUUCUGGUCUGUAACUGACGCUGAUGUGCGAAAGCGUGGGGAUCAAACAGGAUUAGAUACCCUGGUAGUCCACGCCGUAAACGAUGAGUGCUAAGUGUUAGGGGGUUUCCGCCCCUUAGUGCUGCAGCUAACGCAUUAAGCACUCCGCCUGGGGAGUACGACCGCAAGGUUGAAACUCAAAGGAAUUGACGGGCCACGGCACAAGCGGUGGAGCAUGUGGUUUAAUUCGAAGCAACGCGAAGAACCUUACCAAAUCUUGACAUCCUUUGAAAACUCU